UGCUUAGAAGUAAACAGAUGGAACUGAUGGAUAGUCAGCAGGAUUCAGCCGACUACGUUACCUCAGCCUGGUGCCAGAGCGAAUGUCUGGUUGCUGGUGUCUGGUGUGGCCAGUUGGUGCAUUUUCUGUUGAUGUGCRCUGGGACUUGUGUUGGUGCUGGAACUARGGGUUGGAUUGCCGGCUACUUAGGUAGUGUCCCRUCUGACCCUGAAACCAAGUUACYGAUACAGGGAGAAUGCUGUCCGCCUUUACUCAUCAGCAUGGUGAGCUUAUCCAAUUAGAAAUGUUGUUCCUUGCUCGCAAGAAUUUGCGGUGCUUGGGUGAGUGAGCUGUGUUGCAUGAGUUGGUGGCUUUCCGGUGUUUAUGUCAGUCACCCAUCUGACCCGUCUUGAAACACGGACCAAGGAGUCUAACAUGUGCGCGAGUCACUGGGUUGCAACACCCAAAGGCGGAAUGAAAGUGAAGUCUAGUUCGGCUAGAUGACAUGGGAGCCCUUUACUUAGGGGAGGGGUGCACCAUGGUCCCGUCCAUUUUGCAUUGUCAAURGGGCGGAGAUAGAGCGUACACGUUGGGACCCGAAAGAUGGUGAACUAUGCCUGAGCAGGAUGAAGCCAGAGGAAACUCUGGUGGAGGUCCAUAGCGAUUCUGACGUGCAAAUCGAUCGUCGGA
rnacentral:rRNA from 1 species